rnacentral:snoRNA from 1 species
GCAUGGACGAAUUCUGCUCUAGCUUUCUACAGUAGCUAUUGCAGUCAGACACCAUGCCAGAACCAAUUCCUGUUUUACACUGUGGCAUGCUUUUUAUAUGCGAGUGGGCAUGCCCUUGGAAGUGGGAUACAA